AGUAAAGUCAGCUAAUUAAGCUCUCGGGCCCAUACCCCGAAAAUAUUGGUAUACCCAAACCCCUCCUAUACUA
rnacentral:tRNA from 1 species